rnacentral:lncRNA from 1 species
GUUGUUAGUACAGGUGGUAUUAUUGUUGUUAGUACAGGUGGUAUUAUUAUUGUUAGUAUGGGUUGUAUUAUUAUUGUUAGUACAGGUGGUAUUAUUGUUGUUAGUACAGGUGGUAUUAUUGUUGUUAGUACGGGUGGUAUUAUUAUUGUUAGUAUGGGUGGUAUUUUUAUUGUUAGUACAGGUGGUAUUAUUAUUAUUGUUAGUACAGGUUGUAUUAUUAUUGUUAGUACAGGUGGUAUUAUUGUUGUUAGUACAGGUGGUAUUAUUGUUGUUAGUACGGGUGGUAUUAUUAUUGUUAGUAUGGGUUGUAUUAUUAUUGUUAGUACAGGUGGUAUUAUUGUUGUUAGUACAGGUGGUAUUAUUGUUGUUAGUAUGGGUGGUAUUAUUAUUGUUAGUAGGGUGGUAUUUUUAUUGUUAGUAUGGGUGGUAUUAUUGUUGUUAGUACGGGAGGUAUCAUUGUUAGUAUGGGUGGUAUUAUUAUUGUUAGUAUGGGUUGUAUUAUUAUUGUUAGUACAGGUGGUAUUAUUGUUGUUAGUACAGGUGGUAUUAUUGUUGUUAGUACAGGUGGUAUUAUUAUUGUUAGUAUGGGUGGUAUUUUUAUUGUUAGUACAGGUGGUAUUAUUAUUAUUGUUAGUACAGGUUGUAUUAUUAUUGUUAGUACAGGUGGUAUUAUUGUUGUUAGCAUGGGUGGUAUUAUUGUUGUUAGUACGGGUGGUAUUAUUGUUGUUAGUACAGGUGGUAUUAUUGUUGUUAGUACUGUUAUUUACUUUUGCAAAUGGCAAGGCAGCCAAGAGAUGGAAUAAGUUGGAGGGAGGGAAAGGAAGGGGAAAUAAAAAUAAUUAAGAUGCAUUGCAUGCAUUUACUGAGCUCCUGUGAUGAAUGUAAUCACUAUGUAAGGCAAACAUGUACCAAUAAAAAAUAAAUACAAGAAAUUCUAUUGUCAAAUUCUUAAAUUAUUUAGUAAGUUUCAGAGUAUUUGAAUGAAUAUUUAAUUUGUUUUGUGGUAACCAUAUCUUUACUGUCCACUAAACUGCUCCCUCCAGUAACCAGUCUCAUGGUUCUGAC